GAUGAACGCUGGCGGCGUGCUUAACACAUGCAAGUCGAACGAAGCACUUUAUUUGAUUUCCUUCGGGACUGAUUAUUUUGUGACUGAGUGGCGGACGGGUGAGUAACGCGUGGGUAACCUGCCUUGUACAGGGGGAUAACAGUUGGAAACGGCUGCUAAUACCGCAUAAGCGCACGGCAUCGCAUGAUGCAGUGUGAAAAACUCCGGUGGUAUAAGAUGGACCCGCGUUGGAUUAGCUAGUUGGUGAGGUAACGGCCCACCAAGGCGACGAUCCAUAGCCGACCUGAGAGGGUGACCGGCCACAUUGGGACUGAGACACGGCCCAAACUCCUACGGGAGGCAGCAGUGGGGAAUAUUGCACAAUGGGCGAAAGCCUGAUGCAGCGACGCCGCGUGAGCGAAGAAGUAUUGCGGUAUGUAAAGCUCUAUCAGCAGGGAAGAUAAUGACGGUACCUGACUAAGAAGCACCGGCUAAAUACGUG
rnacentral:rRNA from 1 species